rnacentral:rRNA from 1 species
AGCGAACGCUGGCGGCAGGCCUAACACAUGCAAGUCGAACGAAGUCUUCGGACUUAGUGGCGGACGGGUGAGUAACACGUGGGAACGUACCUUUUGGUUCGGAACAACUCAGGGAAACUUGAGCUAAUACCGGAUGAGCCCUUAGGGGGAAAGAUUUAUCGCCGAAAGAGCGGCCCGCGUUAGAUUAGCUAGUUGGUGAGGUAAAGGCUCACCAAGGCUACGAUCUACAGCUGGUCUGAGAGGAUGAUCAGCCACACUGGGACUGAGACACGGCCCAGACUCCUACGGGAGGCAGCAGUGGGGAAUCUUGCGCAAUGGGCGAAAGCCUGACGCAGCCAUGCCGCGUGAAUGAUGAAGGUCUUAGGAUUGUAAAAUUCUUUUACCAGGGACGAUAAUGACGGUACCUGGAGAAAAAGCCCCGGCUAACUUCGUGCCAGCCGCCGCCGUAAGAC